rnacentral:rRNA from 1 species
GGAAGAAACAGUCCCUCGUGAGGGGCCUUGACCGGUACUGUAAGAAUAAGCACCGGCUAACUCCGUGACCAGCAGCCGCGGUAAUACGGAGGUGCAAGCGUUAUCCGGAAUCAUUGGGUUUAAAGGGUCCGGCAGGCGGUCAAUUAAGUCAGAGGUGAAAUCCUACAGCUCAACUGUAGAACUGCCUUUGAUACUGGUUGACUUGAGUCAUAUGGAAGUAGAUAGAAUGUGUAGUGUAGCGGUGAAAUGCAUAGAUAUUACACAGAAUACCGAUUGCGAAGGCAGUCUACUACGUAUUGACUGACGCUCAUGGACGAAAGCGUGGGGAGCGAACAGGAUUAGAUACCCUGGUAG